AUUGUUGAAGAUGAGUUUGUGGAAAAGUGGAAGCAUUUGACACGUUCUGAGUAACCCAUAGCUCUCUUUAACCAUGCUAUGUUUGCAGUGAGGGAGAGAGGGGACAUCAGCAUCUUUUCCUGCAGGAAGAAUCUGGAUGAUUCUUCAUGUUCUGAAAACAUAAAAAUAAAUCCUUUAGAAUGUGUGCUUGGCAAUUGCUCCCAAAAACCACUCUUUGGGGAUAAUUGUUCUUUCCUCUUUUUUGCCCUUCAAUUCUUCAGAAGAGCAAUGUGCUACAAACAUGGACCUGCCUUUGAUAUUUUCCUCACAAUUCUGCCUUUUUCUGCAUGCUUGAGUACUGCUUUUGGACAUAUUUUGUUAAAUGUAAAGAAGCUACAAGAGAUUCCUGCUUUUUUUUUCCCUGGGUUAUUUGUCCUUCAUGGUGAAGCUGUUCCAGUGAGAAGGUUAGUGAUGUCUUUCCUAGGCUCCACCAACAGUCUGCUGUCAUCUGAGAUGAAGCCUGAGCUCUGUUAUUUGCUUGUGCUUCUUUAUUUUCCAAUGGCUGUGAUCCCAGCAACCUGUGGCAGCUUGGUCACCGUGUCUAGUCCCGCAUAGCUGUAGAAGCCUUUCCCUUUUAACUAGCUGCUGUAAUGGCUUCAAUCUUAGGAGUUGUGAUGUCCCGACUGAUCUCCAAAGAGGGCUUGAACAGUAUCUUUCCUGCAAAGGGGUUUAUUCUCAAAGAAGGAGAUAUGUAAUCCUCUUACUAAAGCCCAGAGAGGAAAUUGAAAACCUUUAUGGCUCCUGCCUUAUCCCAGUGAGCUGGCAGCUUUUAUGCUGCUUCACAAAUAGAAAAGGUGGAGAAAAUUUGAAUGUAAUUACUCCAUCUGACCUUAGGUUCUUCAGUGGAUGCUGAGUGAAGUCUGCAUCCCCACUGCCUUCAUGUGUCCUACCAGAAUGGAUCUGUAAUAGAGUUCUGAAGAGGAACAGCUAUGGUUACUUUGAACCAUGAAGAUGGCCACCAAGUGCAGAUUGCUUCCUCAUUCAGUCAUGCUGAAUGAUGAUGCAUCAGUCAUGGUCCAAGGAGGACGCCCAGAUCAAUGGCAGGAAGACAUUCUGGUGAAGAGCAUCCUUACAGAGAAGCAGCACUCAAUAAUAUUGUGAAGGCCAGAUGAUAAAUGUACAGAGUGCGGAUGGAGGAAAAUGGUGCAAUGGCUGCUUCUUCACUAAAACCUUCUGUCAUGAAUGUCCCAUUUACUCAUGGUACGGUAGCUGACCUGUGGGCUUCAGUAGUGUUUGGAGGACGUCUCUUUUCCAGUUGGAGUUAUCAAUCACCGUAUUGUAAUCUUUUAAUGUACAGUGACAUCAGCAAGUAAUUGUGCUGUGAAUUGUAUAAAUGUAUUAGAUGAAAGUCUCUAUCCUCGAGAGCUUAUGAGCAGAUGAGGCAAUAGAAAAUUGAAAGGAGGAAAGGUGACAUCAAGAUGUAAAGAGACUUGUAGAGGUCAUCCAGCAUACACAAUUCAAACCCUGGGAAGUCUUAGUCCCAGUCCAGUGGCCCUUCUGCUGCUUGCUGUCUGCCUUGUUGUUUCAUUAAAUAGGUAUGUUUGAAAAAAAUAGAAAUAAAUAUAAAUGCAGGCACUUAAGCAACUGACAGACAUUAGUAAUUUAAAUAAUAAUAAAUCACAGUGUGAUACUAGUCAGGUUAAUCUUUUUUUAAAGACCUGUAAGAACUAUUCAGAUGAUGAAAUUUUCUUAAAAGUCACUUUAAUGUUAUAUUAAAGAUUGAAAACUUUAAAACAGAACACUAAAAAUGAAGCUUUCUCGCAGUGCUAUUAUCUCUACAUUGUACAUGCAUUUAGGAGAGCUGUGAGUAUUAGAAAUCCUAAUAGCAACUAUAACAUCUUCAUUGAUGUAGGAAUGCUCUUUCGUACCUUCCUGAGCCCUUUUAUGCUCAUGCAGAAGGGGUGCAAGGACCACAGUCUGCGCUUGCUCAGUCCAACUGUUUGCUGACAGACCAGGAAGUGCGAAAUGAAAGUCUUCAGAAAAUGUAAUUUUCUUAAUUCUGCCAUGUUGAAAAGCUUGCUCUUGCUCUGUGGGCCUGAUCCUGCUUAAAGAGAGGAUAAUAUUGAAAUGGUCAAUCACUGUAGUUAACUAAAACUAAACUAAAACUAUUUGCUUAUGGAUUUGUC
ensembl:lncRNA